rnacentral:tRNA from 1 species
UCACAGCUCAGUUGGUAAAGAAUCUGCCUGCAAUGCAGGAGACCCUGGUUCGAUUCCUGGGUUGUGAA